CCUACGGGAGGCAGCAGUGGGGAAUAUUGCACAAUGGGCGAAAGCCUGAUGCAGCGACGCCGCGUGAGCGAAGAAGUAUUUCGGUAUGUAAAGCUCUAUCAGCAGGGAAGAUAAUGACGGUACCUGACUAAGAAGCACCGGCUAAAUACGUGCCAGCAGCCGCGGUAAU
rnacentral:rRNA from 3 species